GCUUAAUUUGACUCAACGCGGGAAAACUCACCCGGCCCGAACACUGUGAGGAUUGACAGAUUGAUAGCUCUUUCUUGAUUCAGUGGGUGGUGGUGCAUGGCCGUUCUUAGUUGGUGGAGUGAUUUGUCUGGUUAAUUCCGAUAACGAACGAGACUCUAGCCUGCUAAAUAGUCAACUGAUAUUCAUUGUCUGUUUGACUUCUUAGAGGGAUUGGCUACUUUUAGUGGCAAGAAACUGAGCAAUAACAGGUCUGUGAUGCCC
rnacentral:rRNA from 1 species